rnacentral:rRNA from 1 species
GUCCACGCCGUAAACGAUGAAUACUAGGUGUAGGGGGUAUCGACUCCCCCUGUGCCGCAGCUAACGCAAUAAGUAUUCCACCUGGGGAGUACGGCCGCAAGGUUGAAACUCAAAGGAAUUGACGGGGGCCCGCACAAGCAGUGGAUUAUGUGGUUUUAAUUCGAAGCAACGCGAAGAACCUUACCAGGACUUGACAUCCUCUGACCGCCAUAGAGAUAUGGUUUCCCUUCGGGGCAGAGAGACAGGUGGUGCAUGGUUGUCGU